GGUGAACGUUGGCGGUGCGCCUAAUACAUGCAAGUCGAGCGAGAAAGUCCAAACCCGCAAGGGGGAGGGCGAGUACGGCGGCGAACUGGUGAGUAACACGUGAUCAACCUACCUCUCCGACAGGGACAACCUUUGGAAACAAAGGCUAAUACCUGAUGGCGUUGCUUCCCCACAAGGGCGAGCAAAUAAAGGGGCGUUUGCUCCGCGGGGAGAUGGGGUUGCGGCCCAUCAGCUAGUUGGUAGGGUAACGGCCUACCAAGGCGAUGACGGGUAGGGGGCCUGAGAAGGCGAACCCCCACAUGGGGACUGAGAUACGGCCCUGACUCCUACGGGAGGCAGCAGUAGGGAAUCUUCCACAAUGGACGAAAGUCUGAUGGAGCAACGCCGCGUGAGUGAUGAAGGUUUUCGGAUCGUAAAACUCUGUUGUAAGGGAAGAACACGUACGAGAGGAAAUGCUCGUACCUUGACGGUACCUUACGAGAAAGCCACGGCUAACUACGUGCCAGCAGCCGCGGUAAAAC
rnacentral:rRNA from 1 species